rnacentral:rRNA from 1 species
UACGUAGGGACCAAGCGUUGUUCGGAUUUACUGGGCGUAAAGGGCGCGUAGGCGGCGUGUUAAGUCACUUGUGAAAUCUCUGAGCUUAACUCAGAACGGUCAAGUGAUACUGAUGUGCUAGAGUGCAGAAGGGGCAACCGGAAUUCUUGGUGUAGCGGUGAAAUGCGUAGAUAUCGUAAGGAAGACCAGUGGCGAAGGCGGGUCUCUGGACAGUUCCUGACGCUGAGGCACGAAGGUCAGGGGAGCGAACAGG